rnacentral:rRNA from 1 species
UAGGGAAUCUUCCGCAAUGGACGCAAGUCUGACGGAGCAACGCCGCGUGAGUGAAGAAGGAUUUCGGUUCGUAAAACUCUGUUGUUAGAGAAGAACAGCGCAUAGAGUAACUGUUAUGCGUGUGACGGUAUCUAACCAGAAAGCCACGGCUAACUACGUGCCAGCAGCCGCGGUAAUACGUAGGUGGCAAGCGUUGUCCGGAUUUAUUGGGUGUAAAGCGAGCGCAGGCGGUCAAUUAAGUCUGAUGUGAAAGCCCCCGGCUCAACCGGGGAGGGUCAUUGGAAACUGGUUGACUUGAGUGCAGAAGAGGAGAGUGGAAUUCCAUGUGUAGCGGUGAAAUGCGUAGAUAUAUGGAGGAACACCAGUGGCGAAGGCGACUCUCUGGUCUGUAACUGACUCUGAGGCUCGAAAGCGUGGGGAGCGAACAGG